rnacentral:rRNA from 1 species
AGCAACCUGCCCCUGACUCUGGGAUAAGCGGUGGAAACGCCGUCUAAUACCGGAUACGACCCGCCACCUCAUGGUGGAGGGUGGAAAGUUUUUCGGUCAGGGAUGGGCUCGCGGCCUAUCAGCUUGUUGGUGGGGUAACGGCCUACCAAGGCGAUUACGGGUAGCCGGCCUGAGAGGGCGACCGGCCACACUGGGACUGAGACACGGCCCAGACUCCUGCGGGAGGCAGCAGUGGGGAAUAUUGCGCAAUGGGCGAAAGCCUGACGCAGCGACGCCGCGUGGGGGAUGACGGCCUUCGGGUUGUAAACCUCUUUUACCACCAACGCAGGCUUCCAGUUCUCUGGAGGUUGACGGUAGGUGGGGAAUAAGGACCGGCUAACUACGUGCCAGCAGCCGCGGUAAUACGUAGGGUCCGAGCGUUGUCCGGAAUUAUUGGGCGUAAAGAGCUCGUAGGCGGCGUGUCGCGUCUGCUGUGAAAGACCGGGGCUUAACUCCGGUUCUGCAGUGGAUACGGGCAUGCUAGAGGUAGGUAGGGGAGACUGGAAUUCCUGGUGUAGCGGUGAAAUGCGCAGAUAUCAGGAGGAACACCGGUGGCGAAGGCGGGUCUCUGGGCCUUACCUGACGCUGAGGAGCGAAAGCAUGGGGAGCGAACAGGAUUAGAUACCCUGGUAGUCCAUGCCGUAAACGUUGGGCGCUAGGUGUGGGGACUUUCCACGGUUUCCGCGCCGUAGCUAACGCAUUAAGCGCCCCGCCUGGGGAGUACGGCCGCAAGGCUAAAACUCAAAGGAAUUUGACGGGGGCCCGCACAAGCGGCGGAGCAUGUUGCUUAAUUCGACGCAACGCGAAGAACCUUACCAAGGUUUGACAUCACCCGUGGACUCGCAGAGAUGUGAGGUCAUUUAGUUGGCGGGUGACAGGUGGUGCAUGGCUGUCGUCAGCUCGUGUCGUGAGAUGUUGGGUUAAGUCCCGCAACGAACGCAACCCUUGUUCCAUGUUGCCAGCACGUAAUGGUGGGGACUCAUGGGAGACUGCCGGGGUCAACUCGGAGGAAGGUGGGGAUGACGUCAAGUCAUCAUGCCCCUUAUGUCUUGGGCUGCAAACAUGCUACAAUGGCCGGUACAAUGGGCGUGCGAUACCGUAAGGUGGAGCGAAUCCCUAAAAGCCGGUCUCAGUUCGGAUUGGGGUCUGCAACUCGACCCCAUGAAGGUGGAGUCGCUAGUAAUCGCGGAUCAGCAACGCCGCGGUGAAUACGUUCCCGGGCCUUGUACACACCGCCCGUCACGUCAUGAAAGUCGGCAACACCCGAAACUUGCG